UCAUUAGUGAUCAAAGCAGAAAGAAAAGAGUUCAGACCUCAGCAACUUCAAGAAAGAAAGAAAAAAUAGCUGAAGUGCAAUGGCAUGAUCUUCACUCACUGCAACCUCCGCCUCCUGGAUUCAAAGAUUUACCGCAUUGUUUCUCAGAAGCAAAUGUCAGACAGACGCGAAAAUGACAUGUCUCCAAGCAACAAUGUGGUUCCUAUUCAUGUUCCACCAACCACUGAAAACAAGCCAAAGGUGCAGUGCUGUCAGAACAUCUAAGGCAUUUCUCUUCUCCCCUAGAAGCCUGUGUAUAGUCCAUUUCCCAGGUCUGAGAUUUAAAUAUAUUUGUAAUUCUUGUGUCA
rnacentral:sRNA from 1 species